rnacentral:lncRNA from 1 species
GUAGGGGUAAAAGCAAUAAAUUGAUUGUUUGAUGAUUGAUUGUAGGCAAGUGGGUUUUUCAAUUUUCAAAGCAGUCUUGCUAACUUCACUUUCCUGCCUGCAGUUUGGAAGAAAAAACUAAUUUUACAAACAUGAGCAAGUCUGAGAUCCAGCCUGCUAAAGAACCAAAUGACUCUUAGGAAUUCUGUGGAACAAGCUUUCUUCUACAUCAGCUCUUAACUUUGGUUCCUGGCACGCUAUCCACCUGCUGAGGCUCAGCCCACUGAAGUGCUGCACACAAAGCAGAUGUCCUGGGGGGCAAGUUUACAGCCUGCAAGCGACUGGAAGCUCUUCUGAGGUACGUUGGCAGUUCCACUGA